GACGAACGCUGGCGGCGUGCUUAACACAUGCAAGUCGAGCGGUAAGGCCCUUUCGGGGGUACACGAGCGGCGAACGGGUGAGUAACACGUGGGUGACCUGCCCUUAGCUCUGGGAUAAGCCUGGGAAACUGGGUCUAAUACCGGAUAUGACUCCAUGACGCAUGUUGUGGGGUGGAAAGCCUUGUGCGGCUAGGGAUGGGCCCGCGGCCUAUCAGCUUGUUGGUGGGGUGAUGGCCUACCAAGGCGACGACGGGUAGCCGGCCUGAGAGGGCGACCGGCCACACUGGGACUGAGACACGGCCCAGACUCCUACGGGAGGCAGCAGUGGGAAUCUUGCGCAAUGGGCGAAAGCCUGACGCAGCGACGCCGCGUGAGGGAUGAC
rnacentral:rRNA from 1 species